CGUUCGAGUAUUUUUCUUAACUCGCCCUUCAUCACUUGGUCAGUCCCUCUCCUCCUCAGUCCUCAUCAGUCAUCACUUCGAUAAUUCGAUUUCGCUCCCAGGCUCCCAGCCUCCUCCUCCUCGGCUCCUCAUCACUUCGAUUACGCUCCCAGGCUCCCAGCCUCCUCCUCCUCAGUCCUCAUCAGUCAUCAGUUCGAUUUCGCUCCCAGGCUCCCAGCCUCCUCCUCCUCAGUCCUCAUCAGUCAUCAGUUCGAUUUCGCUCCCAGGCUCCCAGCCUCCUCCUCCUCGGCUCCUCCUCCUCUUCUAAACUUCUGCAAAUCUGCAGCUCUGGCCUCUAGGCUCUGGAAUUCUCGGCUUCUCCAAGACAUCAACAUCAAUUUGAGGCAAUGAUUCAAUGUGAAGAUUUCAUGGAUUGAACUCAUUGAAGAAUGAAGAUUUCAUGGAUUGAACUCAUCUUCGUCUCAUCGUCUCAUCGUCUGGUGUUAGAGUAACAUGUCAAAUCAUGAGC